GAGCGUGAUGAUUGUAUAAAUGUCGCCCCAGUCUUACGAAUCCUGUCGUUCUUCGAUCGGAUUGUUUAUGGUGAUGGACAUUUCUAUCUGAUUC